rnacentral:rRNA from 1 species
GAUGAACGCUGGCGGCGUGCCUAAUACAUGCAAGUCGAGCGAAGCGGGGACGGGUGAGUAUCACGUGGAUAACCUCCUAUAAGACUGGGUUAACUUCGGGAAACCGGAGCUAACCCGUAUAUUUAUAGAUGGAUCCGCGCUGCAUUAGCUAGUUGGUAAGGUAACGGCUUACCAAGGCAACGCUGCAUAGCCGACCUGAGCGGGUGAUCGGCCACACUGGACCUGAGACACGGUCCAGACUCCGACGGGAGGCAGCAGUAGGGAAUCGUCCGCGAUGGGCAAAGGCCUGACGGAGCAACGCCGCAUGAGUGAUGAAAGUCUUCGGUUCGUAAAACUCUGUUAUUGGGGAAGCGGUACCUAAUCAGAAAGCGACGGCUAACUGCGUGCCAGCAGCCGCAGUAAUUC